rnacentral:lncRNA from 1 species
CGAUGUGAAAUUUUCUUCAUUGAUGCCUAAACUUAAACGAGACAAAUAAAACUAGUAAUGAAGUUUUUAGAAAAUGAACUUUUUGAAAAAGGAAUUUUAUAAAGAACUAAACGUAAUUGAAUGAAAAAAAGUAGUAGUAACUAGUUAGCCUCUUAUUGCUUAACUGUAAAAAAUAGACACUCACUCACACUUAAAUUCUCUCUAAAAGAAACACUCUUCUUUGUAAAUCUCUCUAUUGUAUUUCUUUCUGUGGUGUAUCUUACAAUUGAGAGAGCAUCCUAUUUAUAGGCUUUAGGAAGCUCUUCUAGAAAAGUCUUCAUUAUGGCCUUAAAACCCCACUAACAACACAAUUAAAAUCCCACUCACAACUUUUGACCUUUUACAUAUCCAAACUCCCAUUCUACUCUUUUCUAGUAACUUCUAACUUUAAAACCCACAAAUUACAUUAAAGUUUAUUCAACAUUAACUAGAAUAGUUCUAGGAAGGAAAUAAGCAACUUGAGAUGGUCAACCGUUAUGGUCUAUUUGUUGAUACCUUGCAGUGUUUUUAUUAGCUAAUAAGAUGCAAAUUCUAUUAAUUUCCUGAAACCAUACUGAUUUUCAUUAAUUAUGUACUACGCUU